AAGUCGUAACAAGGUUUCCGUAGGUGAACCUGCGGAAGGAUCAUUAAUACGCUUUUGUUUGUAACAAAACAAAACGUUUAAAACUCCAAAAGAAAUAGUGGAAAUAUAACUUCCGGAUGCGAAUGUUGGGAACUGAGUAAAAUCGGUUCUUUUGAAAAAGGGACUUCAAGCAAUUGACACUUCAGAGUAGAGCAGUGAGGUGAAAUUCUCUUUUCGAAGAGAGUUUGGUUCUGAAAAACAUUUGUAUCCGGUUAUCAUAAUCUGUUCUACAAACUCCAAAAUAUCAAACAAUAAACCCCAUGUACAACAACUUGAACUAAACAUUUUUUUGUUGUCUGCUUGCACACUUGUUGUGUGAGAAGAUGCUACAAAGAAAAAACCUGAACUUAAGAACAACUCUUAACAACGGAUAUCUUGGUUCUG
rnacentral:misc_RNA from 1 species